UCCGUAGGGUGCGAGCGUUGUCCGGAAUUAUUGGGCUUAAAGAGCUUGUAGUCGGUUUGUCGCGUCUGCUGUGAAAAUCCGGGGCUCAACCCCGGACUUGCAGUGGGUACGGGCAGACUGGAGUGUGGUAGGGGAGACUGGAAUUCCUGGUGUAGCGGUGGAAUGCGCAGAUAUCAGGAGGAACACCGAUGGCGAAGGCAGGUCUCUGGGCCACUACUGACGCUGAGAAGCGAAAGCAUGGGGAGCGAACAGG
rnacentral:rRNA from 1 species